UUACGGUCAUACCACGUUGAAAUACCGGUUCUCGAACGAUCACCGAAGUUAAGCAACGUCGAACCUGGUCUGUACCAAAAAGGGAGACCGCUUGGUAAUAUCAGGUGCUGCAA